rnacentral:lncRNA from 1 species
GUGUAUCUAAGCAUAUAUCAGGAAGAAAGACUUUGAAGAAGAAUGAGGUGAUGAAAGAAAUGAAAGAUCACUGCCCUGCUGAGUAGGCAGCCCCAGGAUUCUGGGAUUCCCUGGUGCUGGGGAAUGUUGAGCUUUGCUUUUCUGAUUGGUUUACCAACUGCCUAAUCCAGCAUCCUCCAUCUUGUCCAAUGAGCUUUGGAGCCAUCGAAGCCAGGAAGGCCACACGAAGGGAAUGGAGCCUCCAGCCGCCCUUCCAAGCUGUGUACUUCUCAGCAGACACAGACAACCCUCCCUACAAAGUACUCCUUGAAAACAGUAGCUGAUCAAAUGUUCCCAGAACGAAGGGACAUGCCCUUUAAGCUUGCUAGUCUCUACCAAGGGGCGACCUCUUCUCCUGGCCACGAACUCCUCUUCUCCACGAACUUCUCCAAGCCCAGAACUCCUCUUCCCUGGAGCGGGCCGUCCCCUCAAGCUAUCAUCCUGGAAGUCUCUCUUUCACAGCCCAGCUUCUGAAAAAAAAUCCUUGUUACCUCUGUUCCUCGCCUGGCACUCCCUUCUCUACCCUGGCAAAGUCCCAGCGCUCUGCUGAGUCUGCUCUCCCUGAGGCCACCGGUGAUGCCUCUUUCUAAGUCCACUGGCCUGCUUUCUAUUCUUUUUUUAUUUUAUCAUUUUUUUAUUAAUUUAUUUUGAUUUAUCAACAAUCACUUCCAUAUGCUUUUGAGUUUAAAAUUUUUCUCCCCCUUCCUCCCUGCCACCCUCCCCAAGACAGCGCACCAGCUGAUAUAGGCUAUACAUUUACAUUCCUAUUAAACGUAUUUUCACAUUAGUGAUGUUGUAAGUAGAAUUGAGUCACAAGAUGGAGCCAGUGCGGUUCACUCGGCUCUUGCAAUUCUCUCGGGCUCACGACAGCCCUGUGAGUGGGGGGGUGCUGUUAGGCCAACAGAGGGCAAGUGGUUGGCCAAGGUCAAACAGGGUUUGAGGCCGAAUUCAGACUGGGGUCUUCCUGACUCCCAGUCCAGCCGUCUAUCUGGCCUCAACUGCCCAGUGAACACCUGUGGAGCGCUC